GGGCCUUUAGCUCAGCUGGUAGAGCAACGGUUUUACACACCGUAGGUCGUCGGUUCGAUCCCGGCAGGGCCCACCC
rnacentral:tRNA from 2 species